rnacentral:rRNA from 1 species
UACAGAGGGUGCAAGCGUUAAUCGGAAUUACUGGGCGUAAAGCGUGCGUAGACGGUAGCGUAAGUCGGGUGUGAAAGCCCCGGGCUCAACCUGGGAAUUGCAUUCGAGACUGCUCUGCUAGGGUGCGGAAGAGGGGAGCGGAAUUUCCGGUGUAGCGGUGAAAUGCGUAGAUAUCGGAAGGAACACCAGUGGUGAAAGCGGCUCCCUGGUCCAGCACCGACGUUCAGGCACGAAAGCGUGGGGAGCAAACAGG